rnacentral:rRNA from 1 species
GACAGAGGGUGCAAACGUGUUCGGAAUUACUGGGCGUAAAGCGCGUGUAGGUGGCGAGGCAAGUCGGGUGUGAAAGCCCUGGGCUCAACCCAGGAAGUGCACUCGAUACUGCCUAGCUAGAGUCCCGGAGAGGUUGGUGGAACUCUCGGUGUAGAGGUGAAAUUCGUAGAUAUCGAGAAGAACACCGGUGGCGAAGGCGGCCAACUGGGACGGUGACUGACACUGAGACGCGAAAGCGUGGGGAGACAAACAGGAUUAAG